GAUGAACGCUAGCUACAGGCUUAACACAUGCAAGUCGAGGGACCGGCGCACGGGCGAGUAACACGUAUCCAACCUGUCCUUUACUCGGGGAUAGCCUUUCGCAAGAACGAUUAAUACCCGAUAUAAAGGCUGGGGAUGCGUUCCAUUAGUGUGUUGGUGAGGUAACGGCCCACUAAGCCUUCGAUGGAUAGGGGUUCUGAGAGGAAGGACCCCCACGGUGGAACGGGGACACGGUCCAAACACCAACGGGAUGCAGGAGUGAGGAAUAUUGGGCAAGCGGCGCUAGCCUGAACCAGCCAAGUAGCGUGAAGGAUGAAGGCUUAUGGGUCGUAGACUUCUUUUAUAUAAGAAUAUGUAUUAUAUGAAUAAGGAUCGGCUAACUCCGUGCCAGCAGCCGCGGUAAUAC
rnacentral:rRNA from 1 species